AGAGUUGAUCAUGGCUCAGGAUGAACGCUGGCGGCGUGCCUAACACAUGCAAGUCGAGCGAUUACUUCGGUAAAGAGCGGCGGACGGGUGAGUAACGCGUGGGUAACCUGCCUCAUACACAUGGAUAACAUACCGAAAGGUAUGCUAAUACAGGAUAAUAUAAGAGAUUCACAUGGAUUUCUUAUCAAAGCUCCGGCGGUAUGAGAUGGACCCGCGUCUGAUUAGCUAGUUGGUAAGGUAAUGGCUUACCAAGGCGACGAUCAGUAGCCGACCUGAGAGGGUGAUCGGCCACAUUGGAACUGAGACACGGUCCAAACUCCUACGGGAGGCAGCAGUGGGGAAUAUUGCACAAUGGGCGAAAGCCUGAUGCAGCAACGCCGCGUGAGUGAUGAAGGCCUUCGGGUCGUAAAACUCUGUCCUCAAGGAAGAUAAUGACGGUACUUGAGGAGGAAGCCCCGGCUAACUACGUGCCAGCCGCCGC
rnacentral:rRNA from 1 species